AAUGAAAACCUGCAGCCACUGGGGACUUCCAGGACCAGAGUUGGACAACCCUGCUCUACAGCAUGAUCAGAAAAGUCAGAGUAUUUAAGUCUGCUAGAGUGUUUUUUAGGUAUGUGCCAGUGAUCAUGAGUCCUGUGCUGUGUUUCCAGUCCCUAUGUUAGUGGCACAAAUCAUCAUGCAGUUGUCCCACUACAGUGCCAAGAAGCUGCCCAGUGAUGGCGUUUGACCCCAACCCUUCAGAUCCAUGCCCUAAAACCCUGGAUUUCCCAAAAAGAGCGUCAUUACUGGCUUGGGAAACCUCUGGACGGAGCUCCACUAGCAGCGACAGCUUCCAGAACUUUAUUUAAUGGAAGUCCCAUAUACAGGACAUACACCAAAAAGCAUAUUUUUCUUUUUUGUUUAUUAGCUUUGUCCUCAAACAAUAAUAGGGAUGAACCAGUUGUCACCCCAAAAUUUCACUGUCUGCAGAGCUGUCAUUCUUGCACCCAGCCACAGUAUAUAUUAUAGCAAUCAUCUGUAUGGAACAACUAAGAAAGAAGGAUAAUUGGAUUGGAUUGAAAUAACAAAAAAGUAAAAAGUUUUAUUCUUCUUAAUGGUUAAAAUAAAAUAAAAAAGCCACACACAAUAGUGUGUUUAGCAAUAUUUCAAUAAGAAAAGAAAAAGGUUGUAACUAUUUACAUCACUGGCUAAGGGAUAAUUUGUCUGAGUAUCAUGUAUUUGUGUUAAAGAUCUGAACUUAUCACUGGAGACCAGAACAUGUCUUAGCAUGACAUAUAUACAGGUCGAGGUCAUUUCAUCUCAAGCACUUGGAGAAAGAGGAUGGCAAACAUGUCGAACUGUGAGUUUACCUAGAAAGUGACAAAUUGGAAGCAUCUGUUGUGAACUGGAGUCCCAAAGCACCCAAAUUAAAAAAAUAAAUAAAUAAACUUGCUUAACUACUUCAAAUAUAGCCCACUAGAGGGUGAUAUACUGCCAAACACCAGCUAGAUAAACAGGCAAACACAGAAACUGCAUAAGAAAAAGAAAAAGGAUUUAUUUUUCACAGAAAUGUUAUGCCACACCGUUAAGCUCUGUAGGACCUCCACACAGCGCAUCCUGUAAUGGCGCCUUCAUGUGCCAAAAAGUAGAGGCCAUAAAUAUGGAAGAUCAUUCAGGUAUGGUUAAUGUUAUAGUCCAGGGGUGGCAAACUCCAGGCCUGGAGUGCCGCA